rnacentral:rRNA from 1 species
UACGUAGGGUGCAAGCGUUGUCCGGAAUUACUGGGCGUAAAGCGCACGUAGGCGGAUAUUUAAGUUAGGGGUGAAAUCCCAGGGCUCAACCCUGGAACUGCCUUUAAUACUGGGUAUCUCGAGUCCGAGAGAGGUGAGUGGAAUUCCGAGUGUAGAGGUGAAAUUCGUAGAUAUUCGGAGGAACACCAGUGGCGAAGGCGGCUCACUGGCUCGGUACUGACGCUGAGGUGCGAAAGCGUGGGGAGCAAACAGG